AGCAGCCGCGGUAAUUCCAGCUCCAAUAGCGUAUAUUAAAGUUGUUGCAGUUAAAAAGCUCGUAGUUGAAUUUCGGGAUCAAUAUAUCGGUCGUGCCUUGGUACGUACUGGUAUCAUUGGUUUCUCCUUUCUGACGAACCAUGAUGUCAUUAAUUUGGUGUUAUGGGAAGUUAGGACUGUUACUUUGAAAAAUUAGAAUGUUUAAAGCAGGCUUUGGCUUGAAUACAUUAGCAUGGAAUAAUGAAAUAGGACGUUCGAACCUAUUUCGUUGGUUUCUAGGAUCAACGUAAUGAUUAAUAGGGAUAGUUGGGGGCAUUAGUAUUCAAUUGUCAGAGGUGAAAUUCUUGGAUUUAUUGAAGACUAACUACUGCGAAAGCAUUUGCCAAGGAUGUUUUCAUUAAUCAAGAACGAAAGUUAGGGGAUCGAAGACGAUCAGAUACCGUCGUAGUC
rnacentral:rRNA from 1 species